rnacentral:rRNA from 1 species
GUAGUAGCAAUUACUCUAGCGAGACCCUUGAGGACUGAUGCGGAGAAGGGUUUCGUGUGAACAGCAGUUGCACACGAGUCAGUCGAUCCUAAGCCCUAGGAGAAAUCUGAAGUAUGUGGGUCGUCGUGCGGCCUCGAGGGCGAAAGGGAAUCCGGUUCCUAUUCCGGAACCCGGUCGCGGAACCGUCUCACGUCGGGCCCCCGGCUACGGCCGGAAGCUCGUCGGGGUAACCCAAACAGACCCGGAGAAGCCGUCGGGAGGUCGGGGAAGAGUUUUCUUUUCUGUUUGAGCGCUCGGGUUCCCUGGAAUUGUCUAGCACAGAGAGAGGGAAUGGAGCGCGUAGAGCACCGCAGUUGCGGCGGUGUCCCGACAUGCCCCUCGGACCUUGAAAAUCCGGGGACGGGCCACGUGGAGGUGUCGCGCCGGUUCGUACCCAUAUCCGCAGCAGGUCUCCAAGGUCAAUASCCUCUAGUCGGUAGAUCAAUGUAGGUAAGGGAAGUCGGCAAAU